rnacentral:rRNA from 1 species
UACGUAGGGUGCGGGCGUUGUCCGGAAUUAUUGGGCGUAAAGAGCUUGUAGGCGGUCUGUCGCGUCUGCUGUGAAAAUCCGGGGCUCAACCCCGGACUUGCAGUGGGUACGGGCAGACUAGAGUGUGGUAGGGGAGACUGGAAUUCCUGGUGUAGCGGUGAAAUGCGCAGAUAUCAGGAGGAACACCGGUGGCGAAGGCGGGUCUCUGGGCCGUAACUGACGCUGAGGAGCGAAAGCAUGGGGAGCGAACAGG